rnacentral:lncRNA from 1 species
UUAUAUUUUGAAUUUGAAAUUUCAAAUCAAAGUUUGAAAUUAAAUUAGAAUUAGAAUUCAAAAAGUGAAUUUGAGUUUAAAAUUAAAUAUAAAAUUGGAAUUCGAACUCGAAUUUAAAUUUGAAUCGAAUAUCAAAAUUUAAAUUUAAAAAUUAAAUCUUAAAUAAAAAUUUUUUCUUUGAAUUUGUAAAUUAAUUCAAAAUAUAAUUUAAAUUUUAUAUUUAAAUUUAUAAUAUAAAAUUAAUUUAAAAUUGUAUAAUUCGCUAGCGCCGACACAACGCCUCCGUGGCGAUGACACAGCGCCUCUGUGGUGCUUUUCAUGGCGCUGACAUGGCAAUUCCGUUAACUUUAAUCCCUUUUUUAACGACUAGGACGUAAUUGUAAUAAAAUAAAAAGGUUGGGAACUUGAUUGCCACAAAAAAAAGGUUGGAGACUCAAGUGAAAACAUGUGCAAAGGUUGGGGACCAAUAGUGUAAUUAACCCUUUUUUUUGCUAUUAUUGUUUGAUAAAACUUAGGAAAAACUUCAAAAACACCCCCUGUGGUUUCAUAGAUUCUCACUUUGCCCCCCCGUGGUUUAAAAUGCAUCAAUUUGUCCCCCUGUGGUUUCGUUUUUAUCUUUUCGGUAGCUUUUUCGUUACUAUUUUAUUAAAUUAUAUACAAAAAACUUUAGAUACUCAUCUAGAUUUAUCAAAUAUUCACUUUAGUACCCUUUAAUUUUAACUUUAUCACUGAUUUAAGAAAAAAAUAAUGAAAUUGAUAAGAAAAAGAGAAAAAAGAAACCACAGGGAGGCAAAUUGAUACAUUUUAAACCACAGGGGGCAAAGUGAGAAACUACGAAACCAAAAGGGGUUUUUGAAGUUUUCCCUAAAACUUAUGACU